CUUAGGCAGCGUCUCCCUGAGGUCCCUCUCUAUCUCCCCUCACAUCCACCAAGCACUGGAACACAUCUCCAAAGUUCUGCUGGGCCAGCUCAGCUUCCCCUCAGAAGAAGUUCCACCACAUGAAGGAGUCUUUUGAGAGGCAGCUGGCAUCGUGAUUGGACUGUACUUUGGUCUGUUCCAAUCCAGCUUCAGCUCCAGAGACGGCAGGCGGGACGAGUCAACGGAGGCCGGGUGGACGAAGGCAUGCAGCUGAGUACAAUCCAGAAAACAACAGAGGAGGAGUGCAGGACCAGAACAAACAGAGUAGCAUCGUAUGUCUCUUAGAAAACAUCAUAGUAUAGCCUUUGACCAAAGAACUACAGACUCUUCACAACCUGCUCAAACUCUUGGUACAGGACCUCACCACACGGGUCAAGAAGGUUUCCGUCUCAUUUCU
ensembl:lncRNA